GUCUUGGUGGCUGGGUGGUUAAGCGCUUGGCCUCCGAACCUGGGGUCCUGGGUUCGAAUCUCGGUGAAGACU
rnacentral:tRNA from 1 species